rnacentral:lncRNA from 1 species
GCCAGGGCCACCGCGGGCCUCACCAGGGCCCGAUCCUGCCAGCGCAGGGGCAAGCCGCAAGGAGCAGCAAGGUGUGUGGUCAGUGCAACCUCGGUUCCAUAACCAGCAACACACACACAGACACACGUACAUAUACACACGUCCUGGGAAUCGAACUUAGCAGUCAAGCUUGGCCGUUUGAAUCGCAAGAUCAUCCUUGACUGCAUAUCCAGUUCACGGCCAGCCUGGUGUGCACUUAACUACCUACCUUUGGAGCCAAGCGGCUGUCAUCUGGGGGAGUUCAACUGUGUCCAAAACUGUGUCUUACAAAAGAAUUACCUUAGCUGGACUUUUUGACCGUUUACAUCCCGUCAUGGAAGACCCUCACCUGGGUACCCACUGGCUCCCUAUAAUUUAUUGUGUGCAGCUCUGCCUUAAUUGCACAUGGCUUGCCUGGAGGGCAGGGGUGGGGGGAAGAGACUGGAGUAUUAAGAUUAAGAAAGGCUAGGAGAGAGGUCUUUAUCUCAGCAGCUAUGGGAAAACCCUCACCCUGUUGGCCAAAUCUUUUUUUUUUUUUUCUCCAGGCUGGCCUCGAACUC